GCCCAUGACGAUGCUGCUAGGCUGUGUUCGCUGAGGCAAUCUUGAUCGUGAAAAAAGCCUUCCCAUCAUUUGCAGGCACGCGGAAAAACUUCCAGUGUGCCGAAAAACGACGUGAGCAUGCCUCUGUCGACGCUUGCACCUCACUGGCGCCAGCAGUGUUAGUCCGUUUUCAUCGACUGCAGGAGACACUAAGAAGCGGACAGUCGUUUCCAGAAGACGUCGAGAUGCUGGUCUCGCUGGCCCCCAAAGCAAUGCGGAUCAGGGACCAGAGCUGGAAUGCUGCUGGGUACUGCUGCUCGGCUCAGUGUGGACAAGUACUGCAAAUAAGGACGGCAUCUGGCUUUGUGAACUUUUCCUGACGGCAUUUAGUGCACAUAAUUUUUCAUUCUGCUUGACAAGAAACUGUUGUGCAACAUAACCUUUGCUAACACUUGAAAAUGUGAAAUGAACCCAUAAUUGCCUUAGCGGACCUGCUCCCAUUGAGACUUCAUAUUUACAUUCAAUAAAAAAAUGCAAAUAAAGUUUGUGGUGCUG